rnacentral:misc_RNA from 1 species
GACUAGGCACCUGGGGAGAUUGACAACUGGUAUAUAUGAGGCACUUGAAGGCAAUUUUCUGGACUCUAAAAGCUUGUCAAUGUUGAAUCCUUACAUGCCGAACUUGAGCUCUUCCUGGUUAUUUCAAAGGGCAAUGUCAGCAAAAAAACAGUCCAACGUUCCACCAGAUUUUAUUAAUGAACUUCUUUCUGCCAAUUUCAUAAGUAUGAAGAAACUAGGGGAUCCUGUCUUGAGACCUUUUCUUCAGGAUGUUAUACAGUUUGGGCCUCUUGUGAAAACACUAGGUCUUAUAACGUUAACGAGACCUCAGAUUAUUCCAUCAAUAUUCAAACUUGUAAAUAUAUGGCUGCCUUUUUUUAUCACUUAAUUUUGC